rnacentral:tRNA from 1 species
GCCUUCGUCGUGUAACGGUUAGCACAUUCGGAUCGUAUAUGAGAGGUCCAGGUUCAAGUCUCGGCUAGGGCA